UACGUAGGGUGCAAGCGUUUGUCCGGAAUUAUUGGGCGUAAAGAGCUCGUAGGCGGUCUGUUACGUCGGCUGUGAAAACCCGGGGCUCAACUCCGGGCCUGCAGUCGAUACGGGCUGGCUUGAGUGCGGUAGGGGAGACUGGAAUUCCUGGUGUAGCGGUGAAAUGCGCAGAUAUCAGGAGGAACACCGGUGGCGAAGGCGGGUCUCUGGGCCGUAACUGACGCUGAGGAGCGAAAGCGUGGGGAGCGAACAGG
rnacentral:rRNA from 1 species